rnacentral:miRNA from 1 species
GUGAAAUCCGGGUGAAGGCUGU